rnacentral:sRNA from 1 species
AACUAUGGAUGUUCGGCUAAGUUCGCAACGUCCUGUUGCAACGCCGAACUGACCCACAUCCUGUGGC